GUAAGGAAUAUUGGUCAAUGGGCGCAAGCCUGAACCAGCCAUGCCGCGUGCAGGAAGACGGCCCUAUGGGUUGUAAACUGCUUUUGUCAGGGAAUAAACCCCCGCUCGUGAGCGGGGCUGAAGGUACCUGAAGAAUAAGCAUCGGCUAACUCCGUGCCAGCAGCCGCGGUAAUACGGAGGAUGCAAGCGUUAUCCGGAUUCAUUGGGUUUAAAGGGUGCGCAGGCGGAUUGGUAAGUCAGGGGUGAAAUCCCACAGCUCAACUGUGGAACUGCCUUUGAUACUGUCAGUCUAGAGUAUAGUUGAAGUGGGCGGAAUGUGUCAUGUAGCGGUGAAAUGCUUAGAUAUGACACAGAACACCGAUCGCGAAGGCAGCUCGCUAAGCUAUAACUGACGCUCACGCACGAAAGCGUGGGGAUCA
rnacentral:rRNA from 1 species